UAUAGACUAUGUGGUUGAUAGGUCAGGUGUGUAAGUACAGCAAUGUAUUGAGCUAACUGAUACUAAUGAUCCGUGUGGCUUGACCAUAUAACCUCA
rnacentral:rRNA from 1 species